rnacentral:rRNA from 1 species
UACGAAGGGGGCGAGCGUUGUUCGGAUUUACUGGGCGUAAAGGGCGCGCAGGCGGCUCAUUUUGUCAGGCGUGAAAGCCCCGGGCUUAACCUGGGAACUGCGUUUGAUACGGAUGGGCUAGAGUUCGGGAGAGGAGAGUGGAAUUCCCAGUGUAGAGGUGAAAUUCGUAGAUAUUGGGAAGAACACCGGUGGCGAAGGCGGCUCACUGGCCCGAUACUGACGCUGAGGUGCGAAAGCGUGGGGAGCAAACAGG